rnacentral:rRNA from 1 species
GACGAAGGAUGCAAGCGUUAUCCGGAUUCAUUGGGUUUAAAGGGUGCGUAGGUGGACUUGUAAGUCAGUGGUGAAAUCUUUGGGCUUAACCCAGAAACUGCCAUUGAUACUGCAGGUCUAGAGUACAGUUGCCGUUGGCGGAAUAUGACAUGUAGUGGUGAAAUACUUAGAUAUGUCAUAGAACACCGAUUGCGAAGGCAGCUAACGAAGCUGUAACUGACACUGAGGCUCGAAAGUGCGGGGAUCAAACAGG